GUUUCGGUUUGAAGGGUGGGAUAUGGCGUGAAUUUACUGGCGGAAGCCCUAAAACCGACGUACAUGCCCGUGUUCCUCACGAAGAAAGAACGGAAGAAGCUGCGCCGUCAGAGCAGGCGUGAGGCGUGGAAGGAGGAACAAGAGAAGGUCAGGCUGGGGCUGGAGGCGCCGCCGGAGCCCAAGCUCAGGUGAGGUCCAUUUUUCUAUUUUCUAUUCUUUACAAGCUGUAAAGUACAGGGUCAUCAACAUCGUCAAGAAUAUAGUCUAAAUAGACAAGAUAUUGUUUUUUUUUUUAAUAUACUA
rnacentral:misc_RNA from 1 species